AUUGAACGCUGGCGGCAGGCCUAACACAUGCAAGUCGAGCGGAUGAAGGGAGCUUGCUCCUGGAUUCAGCGGCGGACGGGUGAGUAAUGCCUAGGAAUCUGCCUGGUAGUGGGGGAUAACGUCCGGAAACGGGCGCUAAUACCGCAUACGUCCUGAGGGAGAAAGUGGGGGAUCUUCGGACCUCACGCUAUCAGAUGAGCAUAGGUCGGAUUAGCUAGUUGGUGGGGUAAAGGCCUACCAAGGCGACGAUCCGUAACUGGUCUGAGAGGAUGAUCAGUCACACUGGAACUGAGACACGGUCCAGACUCCUACGGGAGGCAGAAGUGGGGAAUAUUGGACAAUGGGCGAAAGCCUGAUCCAGCCAUGCCGCGUGUGUGAAGAAGGUCUUCGGAUUGUAAAGCACUUUAAGUUGGGAGGAAGGGCAGUAAGUUAAUACCUUGCUGUUUUGACGUUACCAACAGAAUAAGCACCGGCUAACUUCGUG
rnacentral:rRNA from 1 species